AUUCCAGCUCCAAUAGCGUAUAUUAAAGUUGUUGCAGUUAAAAAGCUCGUAUUUGAAUUUUUGUCUGUUGGGGCCUUGUUCUGUCCUUAGUGGCGGAGUUUAGUGUCCCGACGGACUUCCUGGGGGCCAACUAGUUGGUGUUUCAUUACACUGAUUAGGGAACCCCCUCGUUUACUGUGAAAAAAUUAGAGUGUUUCAAGCAGGCGUUUCGCAUUGAAUACAUUAGCAUGGAAUAAUAAGAUAGGACUUUGGUGCUAUUUUGUUGGUUUGCACACCAAGGUAAUGAUUAAGAGGGACAGUUGGGGGUAUUCGCAUUAUCAUGUCAGAGGUGAAAUUCUUGGAUUUUGGUAAGACGAACUACUGCGAAAGCAUUUACCAAGGAUGUUUUCAUUA
rnacentral:rRNA from 1 species